rnacentral:rRNA from 1 species
AUUGAACGCUGGCGGCAUGCCUAACACAUGCAAGUCGAGCGAGCGGCGGACGGGUGAGUAAUGUAUGGGGACUGCCCGAUCGAGGGGGAUAACUACUGGGAACGGUGGCCAAUUCCGCAUACUAUCCGAUAACCUGUAUGGGAUUAGCUAUUAGGUGGGGUAAAGGCUCACCUAGGCGACGAUCUCUAGCUGGUCUGAGAGGAUGUUCAGCCACAGUGGGACUGAGACACGGCCCAGACGCCUACGGAGGCAGCAGUGGGGAAUAUUGCACAAUGGGAGCAAGCCUGAUUCCGCCAUGCCGCGUGUAUGAAGAAGGCCUUAGGGUUUAAAGUACUUUCAGCGGGGAGGCGUUACCCGCAGAAGAAGCACCGGCUAACUCCGUGCCAGCCGCCGCGGUAAUAC